rnacentral:pre_miRNA from 1 species
AUAAUACUCCUUCCGUCCCAAAAUUCUUAUUUUAGAUUUGUCUAGAUAUAAAUGUAUCUAGUCACGUUUUAAUAUUUAGAUACAUCCAUUUCUAAACAAACAUAAGACACGAAUUUUAGAACGGGGGGAGUAUAGA